rnacentral:misc_RNA from 1 species
ACCCAGCCAAAAAUAUGUUUUUAGUUUUUUUUAUUUUAUAAGCUGAUCAAACAAAUGGUUAUAUCAGCUUUCAAAAUCAAGAUCAAAACAAUUGUAACUACAUUUUAAUGUUAUUGUAUUUUUAAUUAAGCUUACUUCAUUAUUCUAAACAAGUUUAAAUGAAAAAGUUUAAGCUGCCUGCAAUAAAUCAAGUCAACCAAUCACAAUCAAUCAAGUCAACUAAUCAAGCCACAAUUCUAGACACUUGGGGCUAUUUUAAGAAACAGAGUUCCGAGAUUAAUGAAAAAAAAGACUGUAGAAAAUAUAACACCGAAGCACAACAAUCACAAAUACAAUGUGAAAAAAUUAUUCAAGGCAAUGAGAAUGAGGUUGAUGGUGGAGAGGAAAUUUUUAAUUUAUUUACUGAUGAUAAUGAUCUGGUAAAAGCUGUUGAAAACACAGAAAGUGUUGAACAAGAAGUGUAUUUAGAUACAAGAUUUAAACAGGGUAGUUGUCAUGAGGUUAUUCCUGGAUUUGAUGAAAACAUUGGAUCAACUUAUAUAUAUCCAAUAAAUUACCCAAUAAGAGACUAUCAAUUCAACAUUGUGAGAAAAGCAUUACUUGAAAAUACUCUUGUUGUUCUUCCAACUGGUUUAGGAAAAACGUUUCUUGCAUCUGUAGUUAUGUACAACUUUUAUCGUUGGUAUCCUAAAGGAAAGUUGAUAUUUAUGGCUCCUACAAAACCUUUAGUUGCCCAGCAAAUUGAAGCAUGCUACAAAAUCACAGGAAUUCCUCAAGUUGAUACAGUAGAAAUGACAGGUAUCAUGGCACCUGUCAAAAGAGAACUUCUCUGGAAAACCAAACGAGUUUUUUUUUUAACGCCACAAGUUUUUCAAAAUGAUCUGGGACGAGGUAGUUGUUUUGCACCUGAUGUAGUUUGUUUGGUAUUUGACGAAGCUCACAGAGCUUUAGGAAAUCAUGCUUACUGUCAGGUUGUUAAGGAAGUUAUGAGGUAUAGAUCGAAUUUUCGUGUACUCGCUUUAAGUGCAACACCUGGUUCAGAUAUGAAAGCAGUGCAACAAGUGAUAAGUAAUCUUUUGAUAUCCCAUGUUGAGGUACGUACAGAGGAAAGCAUAGAUAUAUGUAAAUAUGUGCAUCACCGCAACAUUGAAAAGAUUGUUGUUCCAAUGUCUAUGCAGUUGAAUAAAACUAAAGUCUUAUUGUUACAGGUUUUACAAGUUGCUGUUAAAAGACUUCACUCAAAAAAAGUUAUAUGGCAUGAAGAACCAGAAAAGUUAUCAAGAUUUCAAUUAAUAAAAGCUCGGGAACAAUGGCGAAAGAAUAGUGCAAUAUCUGAUCGGCAAAUAGCUGGUGUAAUUGAAGGGGAUUUUGGAUUAUGUAUCUCCUUAUACUAUGCUUAUGAGCUUUUGCUUCAGCAUGGACUGCUAUCUUUUUAUAACUUUUUAAAAGGUGUUCUUAGUGGUGUAAAAGGUACACCUUUAUGUCGAAAAGAACUUUCUCAGAAUAUUGCUUUUAUGGAUAUGAUGGAGGAGUUGCAUUCUGAAAUUGAACCUGAAGAUGGAGAAAGUUUAAAUGAGAGUAUAAUGUUGGGAAAGAAUAUUUCAGCAAAGCAAAGACUUUUAAAGUCUAUCCCAAAACCAUUAAGCAGCUUUAACAGUCAUCCAAAACUUUUGAAAUUAGAAGAAAUAGUUUUAGAACAUUUUAGGCGUUUUUGUCCGAACAGUUCAAAAAGUGUACAAACACCCUUAAAUACUCGUGUUAUGAUAUUUUCUCAAUAUCGUGAUAGUGUACAAGAAAUAACUGCGUUGUUAAGCAAACACGAGCCUUUAAUUAAAGUCAUGUCAUUUAUUGGGCAAGGUAAUAAGGAGACAGCUGGAGGGAAAAACACUAAAGGAUUAUCACAAAAAGAGCAAUUCGAGGUUCUUCAAAAAUUUCGAAAUGGUGGUUAUAAUACAAUUGUUUCAACAUCUGUUGGAGAAGAAGGUCUUGAUAUAGGUGAUGUUGAUUUGAUAGUUUGUUUUGAUGCUUCAAACUCGCCCAUUCGUCUUGUACAACGUAUGGGAAGAACAGGGAGAGUUAGAGAUGGGAGAAUUGUUAUUUUAAUUGGAGAAGGCAAAGAAGAAGCUACAUACAAAAAAUGUUUAAGUAACAAAAAAGGAAUCCACAAAAAUCUUUUAACUGCUGCUAAAGCACUCAGCCUUUAUGAAGAAAAUCAUCGAAUGAUUCCUAGACACUUAAAUCCAAAAUGCUGUAAAAUGAAUGUACAUAUUGAACAGUUUAAAGAGAAAAAUAAUAGCAAGAAAUCUGUUUCAAAAAAAACUUCAACCUCUGUCUCAUGCAAGAAAGGAUUGAAUUUUAAAUAUCUUAAUACCAAUGAAGUUAAAUAUCUAACAGAGAAAUUUUAUGGUGAUUCCACAAGCUGUAGUAAAUGCAAAAAUUUGCAGUCAGUCUACUGCCAUCAUCUUUCUUAUAAAAAGUUAUCAACUUCUUCUUGGUUGCCAUGGCUAUCUACUCCUCAAACAGUUUCAAAUAUUCGUCAUUCAAAAAGUACAAACGCAUUGUGCUCCAUAAUGCAAUUUGCAAAUGAAUGUAGAGACAGUGAUUUUUUAUUGAAUUACAAUGCAAAAAAUUUAAAAUUAUUGAACAAUAGUAAUGAUGUAAUUAAAGAUAUAGCCAAUAUAAGUGUUAAUAACAAUUUGGAUAAAAAAGUUAACUUCAGUUUUAAUGCUCAAAUGGUUGAAGUGUUUAGCAUUGAUGACAGUGAUUUUGAAAUGAGUGAUAUCAAGCCAGUUUUAUUAUCAAAAAAAAAAAAGAAAAAAAGUAUUAGUGACGGUGUGAACAGAAAUGGAAAUCCAAGCAACACUGAUGUAAAAGUUAUAAACAAUGAGGAUAGCUUUAAGCCUUGCCCUAUGGAAGAGCUUCUAAAAAGUAGCGAAAAAAUUUUAUCUAAAAAAAAGAAGAUUAAUCUGCUUAAGUUACCAAAAGUUCAAGUAAAUAAAAUUGAUUUUGAUAUUAAGGACAAUCAAGUUGGUUUCUGUAGUCAAGAGACAAUGCCAACUCUUUAUGAUAGAUGCAAGCAAAAAAGGAAUGGUACAGAGUUACUAAAAAAUGAAAAUAUUGUAACUAAGUCUGUUAGUGUUAACGAGACAAAUCCAUGUUCAAACGCACUUAAUACAGUAAACAAUAAGUUUCAAGAUUUAACAAAUUUUAGUUCUUCUAUUCUCUCUACUAUUCCAUUGAGUCCAACAUGGAUUGAUCAUCUGAAGAGUUUUGAAACAACUAACUUUAGUGAAAGAAUGGUUGUGAAUGAUUUAAUACCUGAUGCACCCAAUGAUAUGCAUUUUGAUAGUUUUGAUUCAGAAAAAACUACUGACAGGAUGGUUAUAGAAGACUUAAUACCUAAUGCACCUAAUGAUAUGAAUUUUGAUAGUUUUGAUUCAGAAAAAACUACUGACAGGACGGUUAUAAAAGAUUUAAUACCUGAUGCACCCAAUGAUAUGAAUUUUGAUAGUUUUGAUUCAGGAAAAACUACUGACAGGAUGGUUAUAGAAGACUUAAUACCUAAUGCACCUAAUGAUAUGAAUUUCGAUAGCCUUUAUUCUGAAAAAAUCAGUGGCAGGAUGGUUGUGAAAGACAUAUCUGAUGCACCCAACGAUAUGAAUUUCAAUAGUUUUGAUUCUGAAAAAAUGGACUUUAAUGAUAAGGUUAUUGUAAAUAAUUUAAUACCUUGUGCACCUAAUGAUUUAAAUUAUGAUAAUACAGAAUCGAAAAAACCGAAUGAUCAAGAAAAUACCCCUCCUACAUUAAUGAACUACACUAAUGUAAAAAAAAAGACAGAUAAACGUUCAUUAGUUAUUACAGACAGUCUUAUAGACUAUAUUGAUGAUUUUGAAGAGGAUAUUUGUUUUUCUCCUCCAGUUGUAUCAAAUAUAAAAAUAAAAGCGAAGGAAAAUAUCCCUAAUGAUUCUCUGUUUAACAACAAUCCUAAUGAUUCUCUGUUAAACAACAACCCAAUUAAUAAAAACAAUGAAAAGGAAUCUUUGCAAUUUAGUUCCAUAAAUAAUGAAAAAUUUUUUAAUGAAGAUAUUGACGAGUCAAUUAUAUUAAAAAAAACACACAGAAAAAAAAAACUUCUUGAAAUAUCAAAUUGUUAUGAAGAACAAAAAAAUAAUGGUAAACAGAAAAUUUUUGCUCACACCCAAAACAAAGUUGACGAUCCUUUAAAUUUGUUGUCUAAUAAAAAAGUCAAACAGCCAGUAAGAAAAAAAUCCAAGUUGAAUAAUAUGAAGUCAAAAGAAAAGCGCUACAAAAAUGAAUACAUUGCUUAUGAAGCUGAAGAUGACGAAGGAAGAAUUAUGGAUCGUGAAAGUUUUAUAGACGAUUAUAUUCAAGAUAGCUUCAUUGAUGAUGCAACACAAUAUUCGCCAGACAAAAUAAACAAGCAAAAUAAAGAUCAUAUCGAUAUGGACACUAUUUAUAAGAGAUCUUUACUAAGCCCUUCACAUGCUGUUGCUAAUUCUUUACGAUUCACCACUCCUGCUUUUAAAGCAGGAGCUAAUCGAUUUCGAUUGGCUGAUUUAAAAGAGUUUAAAGAUUCUGAUCAAAGCUCAGAAGCAGAGGAAGUUCAAGGACUUGUUGAGUCAGACGAAUACCAUAGUAAUAAUGAACUCCAAGACGAACUAGCUGAGCAUACUUCUAGUUUUCAAUUGCCUAUUUUAAAACGAAAGAAGAGAUGUUUCAGCUUCUUAGAUUCUGAUAAUGAAUUCAAUAGUGAUGCUGACACAGAAAAAAGCAUUUAUAAUGAUAAUACAGAAUUUAAACCACCAGUUAGAGUACAAUCAUUAAAUAAAUCGCUAAUUGCCAAGCAAAUUUUAAAUAAAAUUGAUAGUCAAGUUUGUAAUAGCAAUAUUAGGUUUAUUAACGAGUGUGAUCUACCAACCAUUGCAUUUAGUUUUGGAAUUGACUGGCAUGAUAAUAACAUUGAUCAGGAAUUCAAUAUGGGAGUACAAAAAACUGCAAACAAAGCACAAGAUAAAGAUAUAACUUUACAAAAUGUAUCACCUUAUAUUCUUGUUAAUUCAAGAUACCAUCUUUACUAAGAAGUCGAGAAAAAUGCUGUGUUGUAGUAAAAUCUCAACUUCAUGCUGAUUUUAUUGUGAGUAGACGCAUGUUGGUUAACAAAAAAUCAUUAUCAGAACUGUCAUGUUCAGGAAAUAUAUUGCAGCUCUAUGAAAGUGUUCAAUGUGAAUUAUUUGAAAAACAGUAUCUAAUAGUGGAGAAAGAUGUUGCUAAAAUAAAUAACAAAAAUAAAUUUCA